CGGGAGGCAGCAGUGGGGAAUAUUGCAUAAUGGGCGGAAGCCUGAUGCAGCAACGCCGCGUGCGGGAUGACGGCCUUCGGGUUGUAAACCGCUUUCGCCUGUGACGAAGCGUGAGUGACGGUAAUGGGUAAAGAAGCACCGGCUAACUACGUGCCAGCAGCCGCGGUGAUACGUAGGGUGCGAGCGUUGUCCGGAUUUAUUGGGCGUAAAGGGCUCGUAGGUGGUUGAUCGCGUCNGAAGUGUAAUCUUGGGGCUUAACCCUGAGCGUGCUUUCGAUACGGGUUGACUUGAGGAAGGUAGGGGAGAAUGGAAUUCCUGGUGGAGCGGUGGAAUGCGCAGAUAUCAGGAGGAACACCAGUGGCGAAGGCGGUUCUCUGGGCCUUUCCUGACGCUGAGGAGCGAAAGCGUGGGGAGCGAACAGGCUUAGAUACCCUGGUAGUCCACGCUGUAAACGGUGGGUACUAGGUGUGGGGUCCAUUCCACGGGUUCCGUGCCGUAGCUAACGCUUUAAGUACCCCGCCUGGGGAGUACGGCCGCAAGGCUAAA
rnacentral:rRNA from 1 species